rnacentral:lncRNA from 1 species
AAUCACUCGUUCAUGCUUAUUGAUCUUCUAGAGCUUUUUAGGGAAUUUUCUUGCAACUACUUCUAACUUGCAGGGCUUGAUUCAAGGAGAUCCAAUUCCUGACGUUCAACUUGAUGAGUGAAGUUUAAGUCGUGAGUGGUAAAAAUACGAGUGAUAGUAAAUUAAGAAAAUGGGUCUUAGAACUAAAACUUUAGCUUAACUUCAUAUGAAAAUGUGUUCCACUAGACCUCGGUAUCAACCGAAUUCUUUUCACUUCUUUUUAGCUUUCUUAUUU